rnacentral:rRNA from 1 species
UACAGGAGGGGCAAGCGUUGUUCGGAAUUACUGGGCGUAAAGGGCGCGUAGGCGGCCCGCUAAGUCGAACGUGAAAUCCCCAGGCUCAACCUGGGAACUGCGUCCGAUACUGGCAGGCUUGAAUCCGGGAGAGGGAUGUGGAAUUCCAGGUGUAGCGGUGAAAUGCGUAGAUAUCUGGAGGAAUACCGGUGGCGAAGGCGGCAUCCUGGACCGGCAUUGACGCUGAGGAGCGAAAGCCAGGGGAGCAAAGCGGG